rnacentral:rRNA from 1 species
UACGUAGGUGACAAGCGUUGUCCGGAUUUACUGGGUGUAAAGGGCGCGUAGGCGGACUGUCAAGUCAGUCGUGAAAUACCGGGGCUUAACCCCGGGGCUGCGAUUGAAACUGACAGCCUUGAGUAUCGGAGAGGAAAGCGGAAUUCCUAGUGUAGCGGUGAAAUGCGUAGAUAUUAGGAGGAACACCAGUGGCGAAGGCGGCUUUCUGGACGACAACUGACGCUGAGGCGCGAAAGUGUGGGGAGCAAACAGGAUUAGAUACCCUGGUAGUCCACACCGUAAACGAUGGAUACUAGGUGUAGGAGGUAUCGACCCCUUCUGUGCCGCAGUUAACACAAUAAGUAUCCCACCUGGGGAGUACGACCGCAAGGUUGAA